rnacentral:tRNA from 1 species
GCGGUGCACGGUGCGCAACUGGUGAUGGGACGCCGCUCGAUCGCCGGCUCGGCCAUCGGCGGCAUCGCCGAGACCCAGGAAAUGCUGGAUUUAGGUUCCAGCGCCGCAAGGCGUGAGAGUUCGAGUCUCUCCGUCCGCACCA